UCCGCUAUUAAUAGGGUUCACGGCGUGUGAACCUAUACUUUGGUUAAUUCAUCGAUACUGCAUUCUGAUCAAAUGUGGUACUGUGAUGAUAAUCUUUAUGGGAGGAAGGAGACGUCCUUCCGUUAUGACCAUAUUGUCAUCAUGGAACUUUCGUUCUGAUGGAUUUUCUCUGUAUGGGUGAGCCUUUCUAAGUUUUAUCUUUUAAACGGCAUUGCCUUGUCUCCUAAGAUGGAUAAGUCCUUCUUGUGAUGCACCGUUAGCUUGUGAUGCACCGUUAGGGUGCACACUCAUGUGAAGGGUUUGGAACACCUCAAACCUGGAUGGAUGCAAGCAUCACCCUUUGGUAAGGUGGUGUUUUCAUUUGUGCGUUACUUGAAGGUCUGUCGGAAAUUCUCAUGCUCUAGCACUUUGUUUGCGUUAAAAGGGGUGAGUUUUAUUUGAAGUUAAGAAAGAAAAGGAAUAAACAAUUCUGGUCACAAUACUAUUACCGUGACACCUUCUUUUCUUCUUUUAGAAUUCACCUCCUUUUAGUGCAAUCCUAGUGUUCGGGGUGAGGGUUAAAGACUAGAUCCACGGAGCACUGUGCUCCUAGGGAAUUCUAGAAAUUAACUACUUCUAGAACGGAACACAUAAGACUAUGUAUACAAUACAAGGAAAGGAAAAAGGUCUCUUAGGGGUACCACAAAGAAAAGAAUCAAAAUAGCUAAAAAGAGUCUGCUUCCUUUAUCAUAUAUAUGAGAUAGUAGAUCACCUUUUUUUUUUGAAGCAAAAAAAAAGGUGAUCUACUGUUGUAGUCUUCUUGACAUAUCAAGUCAAGAGGGCGAGGCUCCUAGCAAUGGGGGGAAAGGGGAGUGGGUAAGCGGGCUCCUUUCACUUGACUGGUUAGUUAGGAGUGAUCUUUUUUCUACGAUGUUCGAGAUCUUUGUCUCGCAGAGGGUGAAAUGAGAUCUUCUUGGAACAAGGUCAGAGGCGUUGGACGGACCAGUUUCUUCUGAUUCCAAUGAUAGAUGGAUGGUCAGGUCGGUAACAUAUGGAUGGAGGACUUCUACAGGGUCUUCUCGUGCGCUCGACUAGCAAGGUGGUUUUGUAGGCGAACGAAAUAAGUUUUUGGAGGCGAGCGGAGUGAGGCAAUGAAAUUGUUUAGGCGAAAGAAAGGAGAGAACGAGUGGAGUUUCGAGAAUGAGAAUCAUAUAUUUUCUCAUUUCUUUUUCGUAGUAAGAAGACACUAAGACGCACCCACUACACACCACACACUCAGACGACUAGCGUGGUCCUUCCCCCAUCGAAGAGCCACGUAUCCAGGGUUGACCACAUCAUCACUGUUUUAUCAAGGUGUGGCCACGGUCUCAAUUGGGUCAUUGUUUAGUAUGCCCAAGCUUGACAAUAGCUGUGGAUAUUUUGAGUCCCUCAGAACGCAACUCCCUUAUGAGUUGGAAGCCAAGACAAAUGGAUUCCACUUCAUAGGUACCGUUCACCUCACGUGAAGGCUCGCUCAGAACACGUACCAAGCUUUUAUUAGAAAGGAACAGAACAAAGAGGAGUGCUCCACUCCGAAAGAGAAGGAACGGAAAGAGCAGGCGGCAGAGAAAGAGACAAGGAGGAAGAAGGGGGCACUACGGGAAGAGCAUCCAAGACGCGCUAAGGCAAAGGCAUAGAGCUCAAACACAGGCUUAGUAAGCACAGAUUCCCUAGAAAGAAAGAUAAUUCUAGAAAUUAACUACUUCUAGAACGGAACACAUAAGACUAUGUAUACAAUACAAGGAAAGGAAAAAGGUCUCUUAGGGGUACCACAAAGAAAAGAAUCAAAAUAGCUAAAAAGAGUCUGCUUCCUUUAUCAUAUAUAUGAGAUAGUAGAUCACCUUUUUUUUUUGAAGCAAAAAAAAAGGUGAUCUACUGUUGUAGUCUUCUUGACAUAUCAAGUCAAGAGGGCGAGGCUCCUAGCAAUGGGGGGAAAGGGGAGUGGGUAAGCGGGCUCCUUUCACUUGACUGGUUAGUUAGGAGUGAUCUUUUUUCUACGAUGUUCGAGAUCUUUGUCUCGCAGAGGGUGAAAUGAGAUCUUCUUGGAACAAGGUCAGAGGCGUUGGACGGACCAGUUUCUUCUGAUUCCAAUGAUAGAUGGAUGGUCAGGUCGGUAACAUAUGGAUGGAGGACUUCUACAGGGUCUUCUCGUGCGCUCGACUAGCAAGGUGGUUUUGUAGGCGAACGAAAUAAGUUUUUGGAGGCGAGCGGAGUGAGGCAAUGAAAUUGUUUAGGCGAAAGAAAGGAGAGAACGAGUGGAGUUUCGAGAAUGAGAAUCAUAUAUUUUCUCAUUUCUUUUUCGUAGUAAGAAGACACUAAGACGCACCCACUACACACCACACACUAAGACGACUAGCGUGGUCCUUCCCCCAUCGAAG
rnacentral:lncRNA from 1 species